UAAAUACUCCCUCCGUCCGGAAAUACUUGUCCUUGAAAUGGUUGUAUCUAGACUUAUUUUAGUUAUAGAUACAUCCAUUUUAUUCAUUUUUAGGACAAAUAUUUCCGGAUGGAGGGAAUAUAAG
rnacentral:pre_miRNA from 1 species